rnacentral:rRNA from 1 species
UGGGGAAUUUUGGACAAUGGGCGAAAGCCUGAUCCAGCAAUGCCGCGUGUGUGAAGAAGGCCUUCGGGUUGUAAAGCACUUUUGCCCGGAAAGAAAUCCUUGGCUCUAAUACAGUCGGGGGGAUGACGGUACCGGAAGAAUAAGCACCGGCUAACUACGUGCCAGCAGCCGCGGUAAUACGUAGGGUGCAAGCGUUAAUCGGAAUUACUGGGCGUAAAGCGUGCGCAGGCGGUUUGCUAAGACCGAUGUGAAAUCCCCGGGCUCAACCUGGGAACUGCAUUGGUGACUGGCAGGCUAGAGUAUGGCAGAGGGGGGUAGAAUUCCACGUGUAGCAGUGAAAGUGCGUAGAGAUGUGGAGGAAUACCGAUGGCGAAGGCAGCCCCCUGGGCCAAUACUGACGCUCAUGCACGAAAGCGUGGGGAGCAAACAGGAUUAGAUACCCUGGUAGUCCACGCCCUAAACGAUGUCAACUAGUUGUUGGGGAUUCAUUUCCUUAGUAACGUAGCUAACGCGUGAAGUUGACCGCCUGGGGAGUACGGUCGCAAGAUUAAAACUUAAAUGAAUUGACGGGGU